GGUUAAGCGACUAAGCGUACACGGUGGAUGCCCUGGCAGUCAGAGGCGAUGAAGGACGUGCUAAUCUGCGAUAAGCGUCGGUAAGGUGAUAUGAACCGUUAUAACCGGCGAUUUCCGAAUGGGGAAACCCAGUGUGAUUCGUCACACUAUCAUUAACUGAAUCCAUAGGUUAAUGAGGCGAACCGGGGGAACUGAAACAUCUAAGUACCCCGAGGAAAAGAAAUCAACCGAGAUUCCCCCAGUAGCGGCGAGCGAACGGGGAGCAGCCCAGAGCCUGAAUCAGUGUGUGUGUUAGUGGAAGCGUCUGGAAAGGCGCGCGAUACAGGGUGACAGCCCCGUACACAAAAAUGCACAUACUGUGAGCUCGAUGAGUAGGGCGGGACACGUGGUAUCCUGUCUGAAUAUGGGGGGACCAUCCUCCAAGGCUAAAUACUCCUGACUGACCGAUAGUGAACCAGUACCGUGAGGGAAAGGCGAAAAGAACCCCGGCGAGGGGAGUGAAAAAGAACCUGAAACCGUGUACGUACAAGCAGUGGGAGCACGCUUAGGCGUGUGACUGCGUACCUUUUGUAUAAUGGGUCAGCGACUUAUAUUCUGUAGCAAGGUUAACCGAAUAGGGGAGCCGAAGGGAAACCGAGUCUUAACUGGGCGUUAAGUUGCAGGGUAUAGACCCGAAACCCGGUGAUCUAGCCAUGGGCAGGUUGAAGGUUGGGUAACACUAACUGGAGGACCGAACCGACUAAUGUUGAAAAAUUAGCGGAUGACUUGUGGCUGGGGGUGAAAGGCCAAUCAAACCGGGAGAUAGCUGGUUCUCCCCGAAAGCUAUUUAGGUAGCGCCUCGUGAAUUCAUCUCCGGGGGUAGAGCACUGUUUCGGCAAGGGGGUCAUCCCGACUUACCAACCCGAUGCAAACUGCGAAUACCGGAGAAUGUUAUCACGGGAGACACACGGCGGGUGCUAACGUCCGUCGUGAAGAGGGAAACAACCCAGACCGCCAGCUAAGGUCCCAAAGUCAUGGUUAAGUGGGAAACGAUGUGGGAAGGCCCAGACAGCCAGGAUGUUGGCUUAGAAGCAGCCAUCAUUUAAAGAAAGCGUAAUAGCUCACUGGUCGAGUCGGCCUGCGCGGAAGAUGUAACGGGGCUAAACCAUGCACCGAAGCUGCGGCAGCGACGCUUAUGCGUUGUUGGGUAGGGGAGCGUUCUGUAAGCCUGUGAAGGUGUACUGUGAGGUAUGCUGGAGGUAUCAGAAGUGCGAAUGCUGACAUAAGUAACGAUAAAGCGGGUGAAAAGCCCGCUCGCCGGAAGACCAAGGGUUCCUGUCCAACGUUAAUCGGGGCAGGGUGAGUCGACCCCUAAGGCGAGGCCGAAAGGCGUAGUCGAUGGGAAACAGGUUAAUAUUCCUGUACUUGGUGUUACUGCGAAGGGGGGACGGAGAAGGCUAUGUUGGCCGGGCGACGGUUGUCCCGGUUUAAGCGUGUAGGCUGGUUUUCCAGGCAAAUCCGGAAAAUCAAGGCUGAGGCGUGAUGACGAGGCACUACGGUGCUGAAGCAACAAAUGCCCUGCUUCCAGGAAAAGCCUCUAAGCAUCAGGUAACAUCAAAUCGUACCCCAAACCGACACAGGUGGUCAGGUAGAGAAUACCAAGGCGCUUGAGAGAACUCGGGUGAAGGAACUAGGCAAAAUGGUGCCGUAACUUCGGGAGAAGGCACGCUGAUAUGUAGGUGAAGCGACUUGCUCGUGGAGCUGAAAUCAGUCGAAGAUACCAGCUGGCUGCAACUGUUUAUUAAAAACACAGCACUGUGCAAACACGAAAGUGGACGUAUACGGUGUGACGCCUGCCCGGUGCCGGAAGGUUAAUUGAUGGGGUCAGCGCAAGCGAAGCUCUUGAUCGAAGCCCCGGUAAACGGCGGCCGUAACUAUAACGGUCCUAAGGUAGCGAAAUUCCUUGUCGGGUAAGUUCCGACCUGCACGAAUGGCGUAAUGAUGGCCAGGCUGUCUCCACCCGAGACUCAGUGAAAUUGAACUCGCUGUGAAGAUGCAGUGUACCCGCGGCAAGACGGAAAGACCCCGUGAACCUUUACUAUAGCUUGACACUGAACAUUGAGCCUUGAUGUGUAGGAUAGGUGGGAGGCUUUGAAGUGUGGACGCCAGUCUGCAUGGAGCCGACCUUGAAAUACCACCCUUUAAUGUUUGAUGUUCUAACGUUGACCCGUAAUCCGGGUUGCGGACAGUGUCUGGUGGGUAGUUUGACUGGGGCGGUCUCCUCCUAAAGAGUAACGGAGGAGCACGAAGGUUGGCUAAUCCUGGUCGGACAUCAGGAGGUUAGUGCAAUGGCAUAAGCCAGCUUGACUGCGAGCGUGACGGCGCGAGCAGGUGCGAAAGCAGGUCAUAGUGAUCCGGUGGUUCUGAAUGGAAGGGCCAUCGCUCAACGGAUAAAAGGUACUCCGGGGAUAACAGGCUGAUACCGCCCAAGAGUUCAUAUCGACGGCGGUGUUUGGCACCUCGAUGUCGGCUCAUCACAUCCUGGGGCUGAAGUAGGUCCCAAGGGUAUGGCUGUUCGCCAUUUAAAGUGGUACGCGAGCUGGGUUUAGAACGUCGUGAGACAGUUCGGUCCCUAUCUGCCGUGGGCGCUGGAGAACUGAGGGGGGCUGCUCCUAGUACGAGAGGACCGGAGUGGACGCAUCACUGGUGUUCGGGUUGUCAUGCCAAUGGCACUGCCCGGUAGCUAAAUGCGGAAGAGAUAAGUGCUGAAAGCAUCUAAGCACGAAACUUGCCCCGAGAUGAGUUCUCCCUGACUCCUUGAGAGUCCUGAAGGAACGUUGAAGACGACGACGUUGAUAGGCCGGGUGUGUAAGCGCAGCGAUGCGUUGAGCUAACCGGUACUAAUGAACCGUGAGGCUUAACCUU
rnacentral:rRNA from 1 species